AUUGAACGCUGGCGGCAGGCCUAACACAUGCAAGUCGAGCGGUAGAGCGAAGCUUGCUUCUCUUGAGAGCGGCGGACGGGUGAGUAAUGCCUAGGAAUCUGCCUGGUAGUGGGGGAUAACGUUCGGAAACGGACGCUAAUACCGCAUACGUCCUACGGGAGAAAGCAGGGGACCUUCGGGCCUUGCGCUAUCAGAUGAGCCUAGGUCGGAUUAGCUAGUUGGUGGGGUAAUGGCUCACCAAGGCGACGAUCCGUAACUGGUCUGAGAGGAUGAUCAGUCACCCUGGAAUUGAGAAACGGUCCAGACCCCUACGGGAGGCCGCGGGGGGAAAUUUUGGAAAAUGGGGGAAAGCCUGAUCCAGCCAUGCCGGGGGUGUGAAGAAGGUCUUCGGUUUGUAAAGCAUUUUAAGUUGGGAGGAAGGGAAGUAAAUUAAUACUUGGCUGUUUGGCCGUUCCCGAAAAAAAAAGCCCCGGCUAACUCUGG
rnacentral:rRNA from 1 species